AACCCCGGGCUUCAUUCGCGGCCAUUAUACGAACAAAUUAAAUAAAACUCAGUAUGGGAUAGAAAGGGAAAGGAGAGCCUCGCUGGCCAUCGGCUGGUGGCGUUGAGAGGGAAAGUCUGAGACGUCAGAGGAGAUUUAAGGAAGGCAGGGGAUGGUGCAGAGAGGAAGGGAAAAUAGCUGCAAAGAACCAGAACAUAGUUAACUUGCUCCUAGGUUCUGCUGCCUUUGGAAGGCAUGGAACUAUUAGCCUGAAAGAAAACUGUGAUGGAAAAGGGAUGAUUCAAGUAAAGCAGGAUGUUAGGUAAACAAAACAAAUGACAGAUCUUGCCUCAUCUUUGGUGGACUAAUUACCUAAUUUUGGAGAACGAGCACUCAUAACGGCUGCAUGGAUGAAAGGUUUGCAGAGAGGAUCCGAUCCAAAAAGGAACAGAUUUGAYGAUGCGUCGCCUUCGAUGUCACAAGGAAAGACAAGAACACAGAACAACAUCUCAGGACUGUGCUCAUCUCUAGUGGCUGUCUGAUUUCUGCAAAACUUUUACUCAUUCACACCRAUCUCCUAAGCAACCAAUAAAAUUGUUUUCUUUCUAACCACAUCUGCUGAAAAUGUUAUAACUGCUGAACAUAAGGACAAAAACGUUAAACAACCAGACAUUACAGAUCAUUUGCUUUGGUUUCAGACKUCAUAAGUGUUAGAAGCUCAUCACCACCAACAAAUACUGCAGGUUUUCUAACAUGAAACAAUCAUAAAGGGUUACAGGGUUCUCUUUACGCCAACGUUCAACAUACUGCAGUAAGAAGAGCUAAAAACAGAAAAGGCUGUGAUGUGACAGAGCAGACUGUCACAGUGGUGCUCCUGUUCCUGCUCAGGUGUCACACAGAGCUGAGACUCGGCUGUCGGCUCCCAAAGGUCAACCUGCUCUAAACGGCAUUGCAGCUGAAACCAUCCAGAUGUCUCUGAGUCGACAAAAUCACUCUGAAACCAAAAGCGCCGAUCAAAAGAGUCCUCCGUUUUCCAUCGGCUCAGAAGAGAAAUUCUAGUAAACAAAGUGUGGCUGCUGACAUUAUUUGAUCAGUGUUAAAAGACUUUCCAUUUCCUGACAGCUUUAGACUCGUGAUGGUGUCGCUGACGGGGGUUAUUACAAGUGAAUCCACUUCACAGCAACGCACCGACUAAGAGCGGAGAGAGGGAAAUCCAAACAUGCCAGCAUGCUUCACCAGGCAGCACCUGACAGAUGCCAACUUGGAGAGUUUAAUCCCGGAGCGCUGCAGAAACCUGCACAACCUGAAGCCAGAGGAGAAUGGACAACAAAYCACAAACUAGAAAUGUUUACUGAGCUCGAAGGCUGGAUGUAGCAGCUGUGAUUAACUAAUUAGUCCUUGAAAAUUAUUAUGAGAGCACAUGCUGAUCACUCUCAGCUACCACCACACCUGUUAUCUGUAAAAUUUACUAAAUAAAAGUCAUUUCUGUUUUCCAAAUAA